GGGGCCAAAAAUUGGAAGUAACAACCUUGCCAAGGUUGGGGUCAAGGGUUCGAAUCCCUUUACCCGCUCCA
rnacentral:tRNA from 1 species